AGAGCACACUUCAACAUCACGCCUGGGCUCCAUUUUCCAGCUCUGUGCACACUGUGUGCUAAAUUCCUCUUCCACAUGCAAUCUAAAGAGAAAGACAAGCCUGCGAGAUUAAGUGGGGUCUCCUGGAGAGAAAAAUGGUGGAAAUACUGACUGGCUGUCAGUCUGUGGUGAAGAAAUAGUUCAAGAGGGACUCUGCACCUUCCAUUGAAACAUUGAUUGCUUUGAAACAAUUGCUGACCAAGCGACCAUGUGGACACAGUUGUUUGAUACAUGAGUGCCGGACAAAAACCAAGUCAUUGCAUCUUGAGUGCAAAAGGGUUGUUGCCCACAACAGCAGGUCCAGCAAUGUCCCUGCAACCUGCCCUUUCUACAUAGAACUCCAUUGGAUCUUGUGUAGCGAAACAAGCAUCAGACCCAACAGACUUGUCCAAAGGUUACACUUGUAAGUGCAGCAGGAACCCACCAUCCUACCCUUGGAAUUGCAGGAGGAUUCGGUUUAACUUUUCACCAUGAUUGCAUCAUCAUUAACGCCAAUGAUUUAUGGGACUCCACUUCUUCAAACUCAGAAAUUUCCACCCCGAAAUCUUUGACUGCAAAUAAAUAGGAAGAUGAUGAAACCCCAAUAGAAGAAUUGCAAGAAAACUUAGGACUCCGUGAUGUGUGUGUCUCUUAUUGUGAUUGGCGAGAGGGACACCUAAGGCACAAGUUUGUGCAUAACUAGUGGGGGCUUCGUCCAUCUGUGCCCUGGUGGCGCUGCCCUUGGUGGGCAUCAACAUCUUCCCAGAAAGUGCACUCCAGCUCAAACUUUGGCUGGCUGGUGGGAGUUGGUGGCCGGUGAGGGGUCGGCACCCCAGGGAAAACGCAGCGUAAUCCGGCAGGAGUCCUGGAGAAAGGAAGCGGAGGAAAGAGUGUAAGCGUGCAGGAGAAAUGAGGAAUUGUGUCUUCAAGCAGACAUAAAUGACAAAAUAAUCCAGCGACACCCACCAUGAAUGAGAAGGAAGUAGGGA